rnacentral:rRNA from 1 species
GGUUUGACCUCGGAUCAGUAGGGAUACCCGCUGAACUUAAAGCAUAUCAAUAAGCGGAGGAAAAAGAAAACCAACCGGGAUUGCCUCAUUAACGGCGAGUGAAGCGGCAACAGCUCAAAUUUGAAUCUGGCUCUUUUAGAGUCCGAGUUGUAAUUUGCAGAGGGCGCUUUGGCGUUGGCAGCGGUCCAAGUUCCUUGGAACAGGUCGUCACAGAGGGUGAGAAUCCCGUACGUGGUCGCUGGCCUUCNCCGUGUAAAGCCCCUUCGACGAGUCGAGUUGUUUGGGAAUGCAGCUCUAAAUGGGAGGUAAAUUU